rnacentral:rRNA from 1 species
UACGUAGGGGGCGAGCGUUGUCCGGAAUUAUUGGGCGUAAAGAGCUCGUAGGCGGCUUGUUGCGUCGUCCGUGAAAACCUGCGGCUCAACUGCAGGCUGGCGGUCGAUACGGGCAGGCUGGAGUUCGGUAGGGGAGACUGGAAUUCCUGGUGUAGCGGUGAAAUGCGCAGAUAUCAGGAGGAACACCGGUGGCGAAGGCGGGUCUCUGGGCCGAUACUGACGCUGAGGAGCGAAAGCGUGGGGAGCGAACAGG